UACCGGCAGCUCAAGUGGUCGUCGCUUUUAUUGGGCCUAAAGCAUCCGUAGCCUGCUCUGUAGGUUUUCGGUUAAAUCUAUAUGCUCAACGUAUAGGCCGCCGAAAAUACUGCAGUGCUAGGAAGUGGGAGAGGUAGACGGCACUUGGUAGGAAGGGGUAAAAUCCUUUGAUCUAUCGAUGACCACCUGUGGCGAAGGCGGUCUACCAGAACACGUUCGACGGUGAGGGAUGAAAGCUGGGGGAGCAAACCGG
rnacentral:rRNA from 1 species